UACAGAGGGGGCAAGCGUUGUUCGGAAUUACUGGGCGUAAAGGGCGCGUAGGCGGCCGCCUAAGUCAGACGUGAAAUCCCUCGGCUCAACCGGGGAACUGCGUCUGAUACUGGGUGGCUUGAAUCCGGGAGAGGGAUGCGGAAUUCCAGGUGUAGCGGUGAAAUGCGUAGAUAUCAGGAGGAACACCUGCGGUGUAGACGGCUUACUGGACCGUAACUGACGCUGAGGCACGAAAGCGUGGGUAGCAAACAGG
rnacentral:rRNA from 1 species